ACGACUGCACACACUCUGAAUGGGACUUGGAGUGUGUAUGGAGUGCUCACGGACAGUGUAACCCUUGCGGUUCGGAGAGGAUUCUAUUUUUAUGUAUUUUGAGAUUGUAGUUUAUUACUUUCGUGGGUUGAGAGCGGUGGUGCUUUGGUGUUGUGUAUUGUGGUCUAUCCACAGGGGUAGGCAGGUUGUGCUGGCAUUGGCAGUGAUGAUCUGUGGGAUAUGAUGUUGACGUAUUCUUUGAUGUUUUGUGUUUGGAUUAGGACUUCGAGUGUAUUUUGAGUGUGCUCCUUUAUAUGAGUGAUUGUGGUGUUGAGAUGUUUCAUUGUCACGUUCUUGGGUUGUUGGGUUAUGGGUAGAAUAGCAGCAGACAUGCGGUCCGUCUUUGAGUCGCGGUUCGAAUUGAAGGUGGAAAAGGGUGGAUAAGUAUAGGAAUUUUUAAUUCAGUGGUUAGGUUGAAAUUUAUGCGUUUGGCGUUUUCGAAAACGGCCGCUGGAGAGUAACGGAUGUGCUGCAAUUUGUGUCAGAUUUCAUCCUUUUCUUAGCGUGAAGGGGAAUGGUCAGUGGUUGAAGCUACCCUUGCGGAAUCGAUGUAUUUAUCUGGGGUUCGGGUGCGCUCUCAGUUCCUCUUAACGCACACUGAACGUAUUUUCUGAAUUCGUAUUUUUGCUUUGUUCUUACGACGUGUUUGUGUAGCUCCUGUAGUUACCAGCUCACUUCGAUUUUCGUUUCGUAGCAGAACAUAUAUAUACACCUAUACAUUAUCCUUCCUAUUUUGUACAAGUUUAUUAUGUCUAAUAAUUUAUAUUACUGUUUUUAUGCUUCCAAAUGUUGCAUGAGUUGACGAUAAAUGAAGUGUAGAAAAACCAUAGUAAUGGAGGUAUUUUUCAGAUUGUAGUUAGAGCUUGUGACAGUACUGAUUGAUUAGACUGUUCAAUUGAUUAGGCAGAAUCGUGUGGUUUAACUUCAACUGGACAGUCAAUCUGUAUUUCAGGUCCUUUACAUCAUAAUCCACGGUGAGCGCUUCCUGUUGAAUUAGACAUUGCUCUUGCAUGCAUAUUGUACCCAACUGUGGCUUUGUAGGUCUUAUCAAUGCUGAAAUGAUUUGAUGCUAUCUUUCGCUUGAAUAAUUACGAUCCAUGUGGUUAUCUGUUCGGUUUACUGUAUAUUGUAUAUUAGUCGUCUUUCAUGUAAGUCUAUUUCAAAAAACAUUUUAGGUUGACGAUUGUGACAUUUUAGGCUUUCAGUAGAUUCUUCAUUCUUGAAGGUACACAUGUCGUUGUGUAAGGAACCAAGAGCAGCUUGAGUAAGUUGUGGUUCGAAAGUGGAUUUAUGAUGUCGGGCGUUUAUUUUAAGUGACAAAUAGGAUGUACUUAAUCAGAAUAUUAACGUAACCUGGUUCCUAGGUUGGUGAUUUUGUUUGUUGCACAAGAUGGACACGGAUCUGUAUUAACAUGUAUUUCUAGUUAUAACUAGCUUACUUUGUAUUAAUAGAUUUGGGGAGCCUUUUGUAAGGAUCAUGUAAAUGAGGAUUAUCUUUCCUUUUUUCUUUUUUUUACUCAGGUAUCACUGCUUCAUUUUGUUUUACAACCUCAUCGUUGAAGAGUAUUUAUGAUCAUAGAUUUGUAGUAGCAAACAGUGGGAGUUGCGGCUGUAGGAAACCGCAGAUUGUUUCGGUUAAUCACUCAAAUACUUUGUUAUCUGAAACAGCCUUUGGCCACCCACCGGCGUAUCUCUGAAGAAUUUUAACCAACGUUGAGUUGAGGGGUUGGAAUAGGCACAUGGGAAAGUUGCAUACAUGCUUCAUCUGGUUUAGACCUUCAUCCUUGUCCAGGUAUGCAUGUUUUGGUAUCUCCAGACUUCCACCUGCUUUCAGAGUAUAUGUCCUCAUGUAGUCUUAAGUUGAUUGAUGGGUUUUCCAUCCAAUCAUGUGUCAUUUCAAUGUACCCUAACUUGGUGUGGUAUUGUUGACAAAUUCAUGUUUGGAUGAGCAUCUGCGGGCAGUUUAAUAUGAUUUUAUUUUAGUUAAUUAAUUAAUUAUAUGUGGAGCUCUUUGGAUUUGAGCAACAUGGUGAAUGAUGGAAUUCGUCAUGUUUGGCAGCCUCUGGAGCUUGAAUAUAUUAACAAUAACUGAUUAUUAUAAUUGCGAAAUUUCUGAUCAAUUUGAUAGAUUGUAAUUAUCUAGCUCCAAUGAAGUGUUAUCGGUUUUCCUAAAGAAGGGUUUACCACGAGUUUUCAAAAGAUGAAUGAGGAACGUCACUGCUAUGAUAGGAAUCGUGUAAAUAAAAGUGAUUGUAGAAUAGUCUUCUUGAAACGCGAUACUAACUUCUCUCUUCUAGUAGGUUGAACUUUGUAAUGAUUUCUUUGACUGGGCAGUGCUAUUGCAGGUGAAAUUUCAUUCAAUUUGGGAUUUCAUUACCAUGGCUAGGUUGGGGCUGCAUGGUAACAUGUUUCGCUUGAAUACAGCGUUAUUUUGAUGGGAAAGCCACAAUAUAUGAAUUAUACUUACAUUUGCUUUUCCUUCUAUGAAGAAAAUUAAAUUACGGUUGCACACAUGAUUAUCUUUGCUGUAAAGAUGUUACCAUUGCAACCACAGUCUAUCUAAGGUAUUAGCUCUCUUGGAUGAAAGUUGUACGAAUUUUUGUCUGGCUUGUAUCUUCGUUUAAUCUUAUCAAGAUCCUAGUAUGUUCUUGUUGUUCUCACAAUCAAGAGGUAACUCCAACUCGGGUUUUUGUAAUCUUAGUAUUACCUAUAUUCUGUAAUUGUUGUGUUCAUGUAUCCCUGAAUUAUAGACGGUUACCUCGUUCAAAUGAAUUUCACUUCAUUCUAAGGAUUGGAAUUGUUGUCGUGAAAAUGUUUAAUAGUGUAUACGCUGAUGCUUUAUAUUUCUAGCAUUGUUCACGGAUUUCUUCUUGCAUGCUACUAGUUGGUUUGCAUGGACUGCGCCAGUAAGUAUUAACAACACUUGAGUCUCUCAUCUUGGUUUAUGCGAACAGAUUAUGAUGCUAAGAUGGUAUUGUUGGCAAGAAUACUGAAUUUUAUAGCACAAGCAGUUAAAUUGACUCAUGCAAGAGAUCAAAACUAGCUAUGCUGUAUGAGUCUAGUGUCAAUCAUGUAUGAAGGAGAGCUGCAUUGGAUGUUUUUCAUUUUUUAUGUUUCAGCAAAUAAUUAUGAAUUUUGCAGUUUUAAAGUUUUGGAGAAACUUUGCAUCAGUAGGAUCUUAUCAAUAUUUUCAGCACUGAUUUGAGCCGUUGCAGCUUUUCGAGAUAAUCUCUGAAUCUUAUAAUGUUAUGAAUGGAACUUUAUUUUACUGCGUAAAUGCAAUGACCUUGAGUGAACAUUUGUUCACGAACUGCAGAGAUGUGCAGAAUUAAGCUUGGUUGAUUAGUGCUUAACAUACUGUAGGAAGUUUUGUAACAGCUGAUGCUAUUGCUGUUUUCUGAUGCCAUUUUCCAAAUCUUUUUCUAAUUUCAACUGGUGAAUGCAGCUGACUCUUUGAAGUCCUUCAUCUACGCACCCUCUGAAAACCUGAACAUUUUUACUGCAGAGGAGUUUUAUUUUGGUUCGUUGUGCAGCCCAUUCAGGUUUACUGCGACUAUGCACUUCCAUUUCUAGAUCUCCGUACGCUGGAUUUGGGACUUUCUUCAAAUUUUGGUGACGAAGAAAACUAACAGGUAAACUAUCAAACAAACAGUUGAACAGAAAAAUAAUAGUUACGCAAAAUAAAUAUUAUCAGAGAAAGAAAAUGAGAAAAAGAGAAUGAGAAUCUCGCCGAAAGGGAAGUCUAAAUUCAUCGGCAUCUGCGAGUUGCAUUCAGGUCUGCAGGCAUCUUUGCAUUCCUGUUUUCUUCUCAGUCGCUCGUACGUACUGCGACCUAGUGCCUCUAACAGAACAUUUAUUCCAACCACAAGCACAACACUUUGUAUUGCAAGACAAGUUGGUUUACCUUGAAUUUGCACCAAGGCUGAACGAAGAUUUUCACUUUAUCAGAAACAAUGAACGCGUUGGUUCUCAAGAAUACUACAUUGAACGUUUCUAUUUAUAGACCUUCCAGUGGAGUUUUGAACAUUUGAAAGUCAAUUAGUUAUCAUUCAUGCGAGAAACUUCAGCAUCUCUUGGAUAAACUGCGAAGUAAUGUGGAGAGGCGGUGAGCUGGGUACGCGUAGAUUUGUAGUGGGAACUUUCUGGAAAUUUUUGGGGCAUGGCUGAAUCACCAUUGGAGACUGGGGACAGGUGUUGGGGCGUUAUUUAGUGCAAUGUGUUCUUUGAAACUUUCUUUCCAGGUUCAUUGGUGCCAGCACGACCGUUCCCAAGAGCACAUGUGUUCAAUGUGCCGAACGGUGCGCCUGGACUCUUUUUGCGAAUUGAAAUAUUCAAAAUCAUUUACACAUGUGCACUUUGAUGCAAGUAGCAGGUCCCCACACGUUUCUAAAUCAAUAUUCUCCACAUUCAUCGAGGGUUUUUGUCGUAUUCCCGCUCUCUGCUCAUUGUAUGCUAGAAACUGUCCAAGUAUGGAGGGCGCGAUCCUAGUUGUAAAGUGUCAAACAGGUUGACUUGCGCGUUACCGCAAAUUUUGUUUUUUAAAUAGACCCUGUGAGUGGAAUACUAGAAUAACCAGGACUUGUCAGAAACCACAUGGCCCAGAUUGAGGAGAGGUAAGGUUAGAACGUCGAACCUGCCUGGUGCGCGUCUCGACACAACGAUGCAUCUUUUUCUCUCUCCCUCCAUCUUUUGAUUUUUUCCGACAAAUCACGUAGUAGGGCCACUGCGGCAACUUUGGCCAUGAUCAUAUAACUAAGCACUUGAAGUGGGGUUAUUUUAAGGUUUUUCUAAUUCCUUUUUGGAAAAGCUCUAUCCUCACUUAAUUGAAUGGACCAUGAGAGGACUCACUAGUUAAGACUUCGCUGUAAUUUUAGACUCCAGACGUAGAUAAUAGUAGUCUUCUUAGUGCAUAUUCACUCUUAGUACGUGGGGUGAAAUUGGUAAGAUCACUGUAGCAACUCACAAGCCUCAAUUGCCGUUUGAGUAUAUAAAUCCAUCAGGAACGCUUGAUUUGUGAAAACUUUUCUAUUACUCACUUGGCCAUCGGGCUGUGUAAGUGUCGGUGACGUGGAGAGGUGCCACAGAUGAUCUGAAAAGGUAAAUGUGGGAUUGCUGUUCUUGCCAAUGAACUCCACAUUGGACAUGACACACGCAAACGAGUUAACUUCGACUAGUCUGUAAUGGUUUUGACCUCAGAACUGGGAAGUUGUGCAACUUUCAGCUGGACAUAGACAUGAAGGUAUGAAUUAUACACGUGGCGUAAAAUGCGGUUGAAUUAUGCAGGACCAAUCUGAUUAUCUUCUCAUGCGUAGGCUACCCAUUCAUUUGCUGAGGGACAUAUAGACCAUGUUGAAAUCAAUUAUAAUACUGAAUCAGCUUUUACUAGCCUUAGAUUGACAAGUGAUUCGAUGACCCCACGGGUGUGUGCCAGAGCAUGCGUUCUUUGUGACCCCUCUGUAGGACCAGAUCCUUGUGGAGUCCAAAGCAAGAUUUUGGACUCUAGUCUCCCAAUUUUGAUUUACAUGCUUUCCUGUUCAUACUUCUCCUUGAUUAUGUUACCGGUUUGUGAGAAUAUUCUAAUCCGACGUCCACGUCAGCCCCUACAUAGCUGGAAACUGGGUUGCUUUUUGGAAUUACGCUUGGGGAAGAAGCUUAGUCUCGAGAUUGCACCAAUGGCCACUGGGGCCUGUUACUCAAAGGUAGGCUUACCAUACUUUUUACACAAUCAUAAGGCAUAUGCUCAUCGUCUUUCAUCCACAAGCAUCUUCAAACAGCGCCGCUGUUCACUAAGCUACAGUCCUUAGAGUAGAGUAAGUUCACAUAUAUGUAAAUAUAUGUAUAUACACUUCUUGUUUUGUUUUGUUUUGUUACGUUUUACAUGGUGGUAUUCUAUUUUUAUUGAAAUACAAGGGAAUAAUCCUUUACUGGUUAAGGAAGUGAAUUACAUAUGCAGACCUCUAAGUGGUCUAUAUUCAGAUGGAACUAAGCUUACAUUUGAAGGUGGAAUGUAGUUCCAUCUCAAGUAGGGUUUGGUAUCUCUUAGUCCCAACUUAACAUUUUUAAUCCAUGUUUUUUCAAACUUUUUGCGAAGUUCGGUUUUCCUUUCAGGUCUUGGAGCUUUCUUCCAGCUUGAUUAACCUAUGCCACAGCACAAAUGUGGCUUUAUUUUCUGGCCAAGAUGCUUGCUUGAAGAUUACGGCAUUUGUUUUCUACCAUAUGGUCCAAAAGCAAAUUCCUACUGUGAGAAGCCACAAAGUUUUAAUAUCUUUGAGGUUUAGAGCAGUAUCAAAGAUUGCUUAAUCUGAUGUCAGAGCUAAUCGUUCUGGUUAUUUCUGAAGUAAGCUUUUCUCUAUUGCAGAGUCGGAUUUGCUUCGAAGACGAGUGGUCCCGAUCUGAUCUGGCGCAUAUUGCUGGCUUGUAUUUUCUGAGAAGAAGAGCUCUCUUUACCCACAAGCCUGCCUCUGACUUGUAGUUCAAAAGAACCGUGAAAUUGAUUAUUUAUUUACUUAUUGGGUUUA